GACCACGUAGCUCAGUUGGCAGAGCAUUGGGCUGGUAUUCCAAAGGUCGUAGGUUCGAUUCUCACCGGGGUCA
rnacentral:tRNA from 1 species